UGGGGAAUAUUGGACAAUGGGCGCAAGCCUGAUCCAGCAAUGCCGCGUGUGUGAAGAAGGCCUUCGGGUUGUAAAGCACUUUUAUCAGGAACGAAAUACCACGGGUUAAUAACCUAUGGGGCUGACGGUACCUGAGGAAUAAGCACCGGCUAACUUCGUGCCAGCAGCCGCGGUAAUACGAAGGGUGCAAGCGUUAAUCGGAAUUACUGGGCGUAAAGGGUGCGUAGGCGGUUGUUUAAGUCUGUCGUGAAAUCCCCGGGCUCAACCUGGGAAUGGCGAUGGAUACUGGGCAGCUAGAGUGUGUCAGAGGAUGGUGGAAUUCCCGGUGUAGCGGUGAAAUGCGUAGAGAUCGGGAGGAACAUCAGUGGCGAAGGCGGCCAUCUGGGACAACACUGACGCUGAAGCACGAAAGCGUGGGGAGCAAACAGGAUUAGAUACCCUGGUAGUCCACGCCCUAAACGAUGCGAACUGGAUGUUGGUCUCAACUCGGAGAUCAGUGUCGAAGCUAACGCGUUAAGUUCGCCGCCUGGGGAGUACGGUCGCAAGACUGA
rnacentral:rRNA from 1 species